rnacentral:rRNA from 1 species
CCUACGGGAGGCAGCAGUGGGGGAUAUUGCACAAUGGGGGAAACCCUGAUGCAGCGACGCCGCGUGAGUGAAGAAGGAUUUCGGGAUGUAAAGCUCUAUCAGCAGGGAAGAAAAUGACAGUACCUGACCAAGAAGCCACGGCUAACAACGGGCCAGCAGCCGCGGUAAUACGUAGGGGGCAAGCUUUAUCCGGAUUUACUGGGUGGAAAGGGAGCUUCGACGGUUCUGUAAGUCUGGAGUGAAAGCCCGGGGCCCACCCCCGGGACUGCUUUUGAAACUGGGUAACUGGAGUACAGGAGGGGCAGGCGGACUUCCUGUUGUAGCGGUGAAAUGCGUAGAUAUCAGGAGGAACACCGGCGGCGAAGGCGGCCUGCUGGACUGAAACUGACGUUGCGGCUCG